rnacentral:rRNA from 1 species
GAACGCUGGCGGCGUGCUUAACACAUGCAAGUCGAACGAGAAUCUGCGGAAAGAGGAUUCGUCCAAUUGAAGCAGAGGACAGUGGCGGACGGGUGAGUAACGCGUGAGGAACCUGCCUUUCAGAGGGGGACAACAGUUGGAAACGACUGCUAAUACCGCAUGACACAUUGGGGUCGCAUGGCCCCGAUGUCAAAGAUUUAUCGCUGAAAGAUGGCCUCGCGUCUGAUUAGCUAGUUGGUGAGGUAACGGCCCACCAAGGCGACGAUCAGUAGCCGGACUGAGAGGUUGAACGGCCACAUUGGGACUGAGAUACGGCCCAGACUCCUACGGGAGGCAGCAGUGGGGAAUAUUGGGCAAUGGGCGCAAGCCUGACCCAGCAACGCCGCGUGAAGGAAGAAGGCUUUCGGGUUGUAAACUUCUUUGUCAGGGAUGAGUAGAAGACGGUACCUGACGAAUAAGCCACGGCUAACUACGUG